CAGCAUUUUAGUUUGCUUGCAAACUGAAGAUGGCGACCGGCGCACGGGUGAGUAACACGUAUCCAACCUGCCGAUAACUCCGGGAUAGCCUUUCGAAAGAAAGAUUAAUACCGGAUAGCAUACGAAUAUCGCAUGAUAUUUUUAUUAAAGAAUUUCGGUUAUCGAUGGGGAUGCGUUCCAUUAGUUUGUUGGCGGGGUAACGGCCCACCAAGACAACGAUGGAUAGGGGUUCUGAGAGGAAGGUCCCCCACAUUGGAACUGAGACACGGUCCAAACUCCUACGGGAGGCAGCAGUGAGGAAUAUUGGUCAAUGGGCGAGAGCCUGAACCAGCCAAGUAGCGUGAAGGAUGAAGGCUCUAUGGGUCGUAAACUUCUUUUAUAUGGGAAUAAAGUAUUCCACGUGUGGAAUUUUGUAUGUACCAUAUGAAUAAGGAUCGGCUAACUCCGUGCCAGCAGCCGCGGUAAUACGGAGGAUCCGAGCGUUAUCCGGAUUUAUUGGGUUUAAAGGGAGCGUAGGUGGAUUGUUAAGUCAGUUGUGAAAGUUUGCGGCUCAACCGUAAAAUUGCAGUUGAAACUGGCAGUCUUGAGUACAGUAGAGGUGGGCGGAAUUCGUGGUGUAGCGGUGAAAUGCUUAGAUAUCACGAAGAACUCCGAUUGCGAAGGCAGCUCACUAGACUGUCACUGA
rnacentral:rRNA from 1 species